CUUGCAGAGAUGUGCAUGUUGUUGGCUUGGUAACAAAGUCGUCCAUUGAAGAGGAACAUAUUUUUUAGCACUGUCAUAUAUUGCUAGAAAACAUUUGCGUU